AAUUCUUCUCCGCAACUGCCUCCAUCCAUCGUUCGUCUGUCAUGCCACCUCCUUCCUCCGUCUGUCGCCACCUCCUUCCUCCGUCUGUCGCGCCGCCUCCUUCCUCUGUCUUCUGCGCCGCCUCUUCCUUUAGCCGAUUAAACCUUCAAUUUCUACAUCAAGCUCCAUUGAUCGUCUUGUUAUGCCUGGGGAUAUUGUUUUAGACCUCACCAACAUGACUAAUCAAAUUGAUCGUUUUGUUAUGCCUGGAGAUAUUGUUUUAGACCUCACCAACAUGAUUAAUUAAAUUGUUAAACUUGGAGGAAUAUGAUGUAAUUUUUGUCACCAACGCUGGGAAGCUGAUAUUUAAGAAAUCAAAUAAGUACCGGGUUGAAAGCUCCCAUAAAAGGAUUUGUCAGUUAUGUGUAUAAAUAAAGAUCAAUUCUCCGCUUGAGAUCCUUGAGUCUGCUUUGGGACCACGUCCAACUCAUUUUAGACCUGAUAAGCGGGGAAGUUCUUCCUCGAACGUCAACAACUCACGUGUGUCUCAACGUCAACAACAAGAAAUGCUCAUGGAGGAGAAUAGGAACAUGCAACGACAAAUGGAACAACAAGAACAUCAAAUAGAAUAGUUGCGCGCACAGCAAACACAUGCAAUGAAAGAUAUACGCGCACAUCAAACACGUGAAAUGGAGGAGAGAGAGAUACGCGCACAACAUACACAUGAAAUGGAAGAGAGAGAGAUAUGCGCACAACAUACAUGUGAAAUAGAAGAGAUGCGUGCACUAGUGUUCGCACAACAAGAGUCUAUAAGGACACUCAUGUCUAGGAUGCCCUUCCUCCCUCGAUCAAUAGUGAUUGAUGUAUAUUUUAGAUUUUUGUAUUAAUACGAUUUGAGAUGGUUUGAGAUUUUAA